AAAGGACAAUAUUUCAGACAGGCACGUUGUUACAAGUUACAAGUUACAAGUUACAAGUUGAAUACAAGCUAUCCGGAUAGACGAAGAAGAGAGGUAGGGGGUGCGAAGGAAAACUAGUCGUAGAGCGAAAUGCGUAAACGCGAGAGAGUUGGUCCGAGCGAGAGAAACGACGAACAACGCGCAAGUUUCCCGCGCAAAUCGUACCCCUUCUGCCCCUCUAUUCCCCUCUCCGCAACGUCAAGUGAAAUCUCUGCGAAACCAGAACACCCUGGCCAGUUGGACGUCGCGGCGAACACGAGGUGUCCGACGACGUUAGCGCGUCGACCUUUUCCAGCGCGUAGUACACCUUAUCUACGGUUACGCGUCACGUUCGCCACGCUCAAACACACCUUCCACGCUAGUUUUUUCUCACCCCUAGCCUAGCGUCGACGCGUCGCGUCGCGUCGCGUCGCGUCGCCUCUAGCGAUCGAUGCAGCGAGGCGUCGAUCGCUCGUCGAUGAUCCCGUGUCGCACGACACGACGCCGACGCCGACGCCGCGCCGACGCUUCGCUGCCCGUAAUUACGCAUUCCGUCGAGCACUCGCGUGGGCGAGGACCUCGAUUCGCAACCGAAUCGCACCGUUUGCAUCGUUCCACGAUAGCAAUUCGAUGAUUAUUCGAGUAACCGUUCGGUGAGAAGGACGGAGGAUCCGUCAGGGAUUCCAGUACGAAUCGUAGUUGAAUCGUUGACGUCACCAAAGCGACGCGCGACCCUUCGUUGUGAAAGUAAGAGUGAUGCGUGUACGGGGGGGGGGGGGGGGGUGUAAACGACGUUUUCGAUAUCAAAACACCGGAUGGGGAUUUACAACGAAUUCUCGGAGACUGUGUUUAUCGUAAAAGUUAAUCGUUCGCUCGAAACUCGUUGUUUUCUUAUCGGUUACAUCGCGCGUACAAUCAACCUUUUGAAAACACUUGUCAAGCAAAGCCCAGGUACAUGCAUACACGGCUAGCCUACCGUUGUUGAGCAGAAAGUUGCUGAAAAUUUUGCUCGAAUGUGAUCCGUAAUACUCGAUUCGAAUUGGUAGGAGGAGCAAGAAUCGGAAGACGUAGAAAUUCGAGAUUGCAUGGAAGCUCUAUCGUCGUAAUCACCGAUAAAGCGAACCACUCAAGUAUAGCGACAAGAUAAGUAAAUACAGGUGGAAAACUUGUCGUGGUUUAUUUGGGAGUGGAUUUCACGAAUGAAGUAGAUCGCUUGUGAUCGAUUCGCACACCAAUUUCCGUUGGAUAUUCUUUUUUUUUUUUUACCUAAAUUGUUGAACCCUUCGCUUAAGAUGACAUAUUGUUUACACGAAAUUUUAAAGUUUCAACAAACAUCCGUGAAAAGAGUGUCUCUGGAAGUGUCGGUUCGAGAACAGUUUUCGAUGACGUUUCACCCGUGGUUUCGUUCGCUUCCAAAGUGAAUUUAUGGACAAAAGUGUUGUGGAGAAUAGCGUCUAGAAGAUUGGAAUCG